UACGUAGGGUGCAAGCGUUGUCCGGAAUUAUUGGGCGUAAAGAGCUCGUAGGCGGUCUGUCGCGUCGGCUGUGAAAACCCGGAGCUCAACUCCGGGCCUGCAGUCGAUACGGGCAAACUGGAGUACUGCAGGGGAGACUGGAAUUCCUGGUGUAGCGGUGAAAUGCGCAGAUAUCAGGAGGAACACCGGUGGCGGAAGGCGGGUCUCUGG
rnacentral:rRNA from 1 species